ACGGGAGGCAGCAGUGAGGAAUAUUGGUCAAUGGGCGGGAGCCUGAACCAGCCAAGUAGCGUGAGGGAUGACGGCCCUAUGGGUUGUAAACCUCUUUUGACAGGGAAUAAAGUGAGCCACGUGUGGUUCAUUGCAUGUACCUGUGGAAUAAGGAUCGGCUAACUCCGUGCCAGCAGCCGCGGUAAUACGGAGGAUCCGAGCGUUAUCCGGAUUUAUUGGGUUUAAAGGGAGCGUAGGCGGGAUGUCAAGUCAGCUGUGAAAUGUAGUCGCUCAACGUCUGCACUGCAGUUGAAACUGGUGUUCUUGAGUGCGUAAGAGGCAGGUGGAAUUCGUCGUGUAGCGGUGAAAUGCAUAGAUAUGACGAAGAACUCCGAUUGCGAAGGCAGCCUGCUGGGCCGCUACUGACGCUGAAGCUCGAAGGUGCGGGUAUCAAACAGGAUUAGAUACCCUGGUA
rnacentral:rRNA from 2 species